rfam:Dipodomys ordii contig_1269, whole genome shotgun sequence.
GGGAAAGUGGCUCAGUGGUAGAGUGUUUGCCUGGUAUGCAUGAGACCCUGAGUUUGAUUCCUCAGCACCA